rnacentral:rRNA from 1 species
UGUGUAGGUGGCGCGCUAAGUCGGGUGUGAAAUUUCGGAGCUUAACUCCGAAACUGCAUUCGAUACUGGCGUGCUUGAGGACUGGAGAGGAGACUGGAAUUCAUGGUGUAGCAGUGAAAUGCGUAGAGAUCAUGAGGAAGACCAGUGGCGAAGGCGGGUCUCUGGACAGUUCCCGACACUGAGACACGAAGGCCAGGGGAGCAAACG